CCUACGGGAGGCAGCAGUGAGGAAUCUUCGUCAAUGGACGGAAGUCUGAACCAGCAAUGCCGCGUGCAGGAUGACGGCUCUCUGAGCUGUAAACUGCUUUUGUAUUAGGGUAAAAACCCCUACGUGUCGGGGCUUGACAGUAUAAUACGAAUCAGGAACGGCUAACUACGUGACAGCAGCCGCGGUAAUACGGAGGAUCCAAGCGUUAUCCGGAUUUAUUGGGUUUAACGGGUGCGUAGGCGGUUUGAUAAGUUAGAGGUGAAAUACCGGGGCUCAACACCGGAACUGCCUCUAAUACUGGUGAACUAGAGAGUAGGUGCGGUAGGCGGAAUGUAUGGUGUAGCGGUGAAAUGCGUAGAGA
rnacentral:rRNA from 1 species